GUUUGCCAAGAGGGAAACCAAGGCUCAAGAGAUGCGGUGACCUUCAAGGUUACGUCAUUCGCUUGGAAAGAAGCGAUUUCCUCAGCCACAUGCUUACUAUGUACCUCUGGACUUGAGAGACCAAAAGAUCGAAACACCUGAGCCUUGACCCACCAACCAACAUCUGGGCGGGCACACGAGCGACCUGGGCGAGGAGAGGUGGACUGGGGCAUCGAGAGAAACGUGUAAACAAAUCUAGUGAUCGAGAGGAAGGUUCACCUUCCUUCCCGAGAUUGCUGGCCCUCCCCCACCGUCAGCCCGGCCCGGCCAUGAGGCCUGAACGGAAGGACACACUCUGCCUCCUCUCUCUCUUCAAUACAAGCCGCGGGCUCAACCGAGGCGGAAGCAGAGACGCGGGUCUCAAGUAGCCCAGGCUAACCCUAAGCUCCAUGUUGAGGGAAGGAUAUCCUUGAACUCCCGAUCCUGCUGCCUCCCAAACGCCGAGUUUACAGGCAUGAAGGAUCCACAUUGGUUCUUUGUCCACCCCUUGUCCCAACUUCUGGUCGCUCAAAAGAACCUGCCCUCCCUGAGGUCGGCCUGCCCCAGCAACACCCCUCACGUGACUCAAGUUACUGGCUUGCACCGUCCAAGGCAAAUCUGCAGCCUGGAGAGGUUGUGCGAGAGCGCUCAGGCGUGAGAUUCUCACCCAUGAGGUUGGCAAGGCGGGACGAGAACCUUGACCGACCUUAGAAACGCCCAAGCCCUGGCUAGAGCUGCAAGCCGGGAGGCCUGAGGAGGUGGUGGCUACUGGCCCAGUUCACCGAGUGAGCCACACUGAGUCCAGUGGGCCCUGGAGGCAGCAUGUGGCCAUCAUACAGACGAAAAGGCCCAAGCCACCCCUUUGCACCGGAGAGGGCUGGCAAUGGCAGCAGCAGAUGGUGGUGAAAAACUGGUGUCGAUCCUGCCUGGCGGCUAGGAGCUACUUAGGAGGCUGAGUUUAGCUGGGCAGGCCCAGGGGCGGGCAGGAGCCGGGAACCCUCCCCCAAGGCCCGUGGAAACAUGGAGCCCAAAGCCAGGACCCCAUCAGCACCUCUCUGUCCAAGGGCCACAUUGUCACCGUCUGGUGGAACCUUCCAGAGGCGAAGUGCCGGACUUCUGUCCAGCUACUGACUUCUGUCCCACUCUCCUGAGAGAAAUCCAAAUUCCAGGCCCAGGGAGGACCAGGGAACCUAAGGGAAGGAAGGGGUGGCAAAGUCACAGGGAAAUGGAGAAAAGUGGGCCCAGUCAUGCCCUGUGAUGACGCGGGAACAGCAGCCUCAAUUAUUUAUUUAUUUAUCUAUUUAUUCUGGUUUUUUUUGAGACAAUAUCUCACUAUGUAGCUCUGGCUACCCUAGAAUCCACUAAAUACACCAGGCUGGCCUCAAACUCACAGAGAUCCAUCCAUCUCUGUCUCCCAAGUGCUGGAGUUGAAGGGUGGGCCAGCAGCUUUGAUUUUAAGUAACACACGAUGCGAUGCGUUCUUUAGUUAGUGAAGGAAACCCUAAGUCUCAGAUGAGAUGGGGGGAUGGGGCAGAGCAAGCGAGCCGACCAGAGACAAUGCAGCGACUGAUAGUCCGGGUGAUUGGUGUAUUGACGCUGGUCACCUCGUUCUUUUUGCUUGUUUGUUUUUUUGAGACAGGCUUUCUCUGUGUAGCCCUGGGUCAUUCUGGACUCACUCUGUGGACCAGACUGACCUCGGAACUCAAAAGUUAUCCCUGCCUCUGCCUGCCUUCACCACCAUGGCCUGGCUCAUUGCCUCAUUCUUAACAACCUCUCUGAAGUUCUUGAAAGGUACCUAGGAUCAGAACCAGUUAGUAGAGAGCUGCUUUUGUUUAUUUUUAUCUUAUUUUAUUUUGAGAGAGAGAAAGGAUCUCACUGUGUAGACCAGGCUAGCCUAGAAGUCACUAUGCAGACCGGGCUGGCCUUGAACUCUCCGAGCUCCAUCUGCCUCUGCCUCCUGAGUGCUGGAAUUAAAGGCGUGCUCCACCAUGCUCAGCCUCCAAGGAUGGUUUAGUUUUGAAAUUUAAGGCAAAUGUUCAUCUAAGGCUGUAGCUCAGUGUGGGAGCACAAGACCCUGGGUUCAAUCCUCAGCACCAUCAAACAAACACACAGUGUAAUUACCCAUCUCAGACCCACUGCCAACAUGCUUUCCUGUUGGUGGCCCGAGCAGGGGUGGUGUGUGGCUGAGUCCCCAGUACUUCAUUUGCGACACCCUACCCUGAAUGCGUCCUGCAGAGACGUGUCCCCCAGAAGCCCUUCCGGAACUGGCCUCCAUUCCGGCUUCCAGAGAGCCGACUGCUGAAGCAUGGAUUUAGGAGUGUCUGUUUGCAUGAGUCACUUUAGGGACUCAUAGUAACUCUCAGCGUUCUAAAAGUCUAAACCCUGACUCAGCCAAGCCACUUGGUUCCCCCUAGCCAACCGAUUUCACAAGGACAAAAUGGUAGACAGGCUGUCCUCGGUUGGAGCGGAGCCUUGUUUGCAGCAGCGGAAACUGACCUUACGGAAAUGCUAAGUUCACGACAGGCCUGUGAUCCACCUCACACUCCCUGAAAGAGUCAGAGAUCUGCAUCCUGACGUAAAACAAUAUCAAAGGCAAAACGUUCGGGCUGGGAACAUGGCUCCAUGGUAGGGAGCUUGCUUGCCCAGCACCUGCGAGGUCCCAGGUUCCAUCCCCAGCAUCGGAAACCUGAAAGUCGGACAAGCAGGAUACUGGACACUUGCACUUAGCAGGAACGCCACUGCCCCCUAGGGGACAUUUUUUAAAUAUACGAGGCCAGUGCCGCUGUGGAUCUUCAAAAGUAAUCGGAGUUUUGAAAUGUCCUGUAGUGAGUAGAACAUUCUGAUACAACAUGAAAUUUCAACAACAGCACAAAGAAAAAGAAAACUCCACAUCUCUGUUUUCCUAGGAAAUCACAUGCAUGAGAACAGUGUCCCACAAUACGAAUGAUGCCUGACAGUAUUGGCCGGCCCAAAGAUGAGGUGGAGGGGGUGGCUAGAUGGUGCCUGCACUGGGUACCGAGACAUGGACCACCCCCAGGGGAAAUCCUGCGUGGUCUGGGACGGAGUCCCUCCUUGCUGUAUUGGUGGUUGUGGAGGGCCGUGGGACGCAGCUACAGACAAAGCCAGCCUGAGAGACAGUCCCAGAUGCUCCAGGUAACUCGGAAGCCUCCAGCACCUGGAUGCAAAUGGCCGCUUGCUAAAGCAACACACCUGUGGCCAAGCUUGAUGAGCUGAGUUGGAUCACCAGGACUCGCACUGUGGCGUGGGCAGUUGCUUGUUAAGCUGUUUUGUUAUGUUUUCACCUGGGGAAGUAGUUCUUGAAAAGAGGUUAGGUGGAUCCACACCUUUUUCUGUUUGUAUUGAUGUCACUUGCUUGCCUAUAAAUAAUGAACCCUGGAAUACACCCACACUGCUUCAGUCAGACUGACAGCCCUCUCAAGCCAAUCCCAUGUGAAGUAUGAUUUGUCCUCACUUCCCCACUCGGGUACUGUUGGACUCUGCCAGCAGGUCUGGCAGGUUGGCGCCCAAACAGGGACCUGGGAUACGGGGGAAGCAGUGAAGGACAGCGCAGUGUUGAUGAGUCCGGAUCGUAAAGAGGCGUGGUGGGAAAAAUUGAGAGUAAAAAAGGGACAAGGAAGUAGUGUCAUGUUUUUUUUUGUUUGUUUGUUUGUUUGUUUGUUUUUUUUGCGUGGUCUUUAAUUAGAGACAUUCUGUUUCUGUAGUUCGAGACAAAGAAAGUGAAACUUUCAGGGUCAGAAAGAAAGAGGAAAAACAAACAGUAGGCUUCGAGACAAAAUAAGAUUAAAUAAACCAUCGGCUCCUCCUGAAGAGUUCUAUGUCUCUUCUGAUGAUGAUAAUUCUUUGUUAGAAGAAGACUAAGGAUGACUUAGAUCCUGAUGAAGUUGCAGAGCUGGAGGAUUCUGAGAGAUAUCCUCCCAUUCAGGCUAUGAGUGUUAAAAAACUUGAGCCUUGGCAAAAGGAAGUUAAGAAGUUGGAAUGACGCUUGGAGGAAAUAAACAGGAAAUUGAAUUAAGGAUUGGGGAAAACGAGGCUCAAUUCCCCCACUCCAACUCCCUCAUUGAUUACAGGCUUGGAUCCUCCUCCUGGGAUGGCUACAGUUGCUAUAGCUCAAAACAGGAGUGGGCCUUGUCCUUUGCCCACUGCCCAAGCAACUGUAUCCCCAUGACAAGCAUCUUUACAACAAGCUGUGCAGAAAGAAGAUAUAACUGAGUUUUAUGGUUUUCCAGUUUUAGAACAACCUGACAGUCAGGGUAAUAGGGUGAGAGUCCAUGCUCCUAUUCCUUUUAAACAACUAAAAUAAUUAAAAACUGCAUGGUCUCAAUAUGGUCCUACAGCACCUUCUACUCAAGCUCUGUGAAAAUCUUUGUCUACUGAGGCCCUCUGCCCAGAGGCUGAAAGCAAUUAACAAGAGCAUGCUUAUCAGGAGGAGAUUAUUUAAUACGGAAAUCAGAUUCUGCAAAGCACUGUCAAGUUACAGCUGAACUCAAUCAAGCUCAGGGAGUUCCUAUAAUUUAUGACAUGCUUGCUGGGGAAGGAACCUAUAGGGAAACAGGAAAGCAAUUGGAUUUUGAUGUGGCAGUUUAUGCUCAAGUGAAUGCUGCUGCCCGAAAGGCCUGGAAUAAACAGGUAGACAGGUGGAGCAUUUGUCUAAAAUCUGUCAGGGACCUGAUGAGUUAUUUCAAGAUUUUGUGGCAAGAUUAAUGCAAGCAGCAAGCAGACUUAUAAGCGAUGAAAAUGCUGGAUUAUUACUGGUAAAACAAUUGGCUUAUGAGAAUGCUAUCAGUGCCUGCCAAGCAGCUUUGAGACCCUUUAGGAAGAAAGGAGAUAUUUCUGAUUAUAUUAGGCUAUGUUCUGACAUUGGGCCAUUUUAUACUCAAGGAGUAGCUAUGGCUGCCACCCUACAAGGGAAGACUAUUAAAGAGGCGUUAUUUCAGCAAUAGAAAGGCCCAAAGAAUGGAGUAUUGGAAGUUGUUAUGGCUGUGGGCAAGUGGGACAUCAAAGAAGAAAUUGUCCUAAUAAUGCUGGUAAGAAAGGAGGAAAUCAAAAGAAACCUGGUCUAUGCCCAAGAUGUAAAGGAGGAAAGCAUUGGGUUAAUGAAUGUAGGUCUAAAAGAGAUGCUUCAGGAUACCCUUUAAUGCAGGAAAACAGGAGGAGAGUCCAGCCCCGGGCCCCCGCACGAUAUUAUGGGGCGCUACAGAACUUUGUCCCCUCAGCCAAAAAAUCCAUUCAGGACCUCAGUAGAGCAACCAAAGGUAGCGCAGGACUGGACCUCAGUUCCUCAGCCUACACAGUAUUAACUCCUGAAAUGGGGAUGCAGGCCCUACCUACAGGAGUUUAUGGCCCGUUACCUAGGGGGACUGUAGGAUUAUUACUAGGAAGAAGUAGUACUACAAUGCAGGGAAUUUUAGUAGCUCCUGGGGUAAUUGAUGCUGAUUUUGAAGGGGAGAUAAAAAUUAUGACACAUUCUCCAAAUGGAAUUUCUGUAAUAAAGCAAGGUCAAAGAUUAGCUCAAUUAAUAUUGCUCCCUCAAGUUCAGACAAAAAAAUGCAAGUAAGAAGGAUGGGAAAGGAGAUGCAGGUUUUGGAUUCUCUGAUACUAAUUGGUUACAAGCUAUCGGUCCCAAUUGACCUGAACUGGUGUUACAAAUUAAUGGAAGAAAAUCUAUAGGGUUAGUGGAUACAGGAGCUGAUGUCUCUGUUUUAACUGCUGAUCAGUGGCCUAGGCAUUGGCCUAAACAAUCCUCUAUAACACAAUUGUGAGUAAUAGGACAAAGCCAGUGUCCUAAAUGAAGUAGUGAGGAGUUAACUUGGAAGGAUGAAGGACACGAGAGAACUUUUAAACCAUACAUUGUUCCUGGCCUUCCUGUUCAUCUGUGGGGUAGAGAUGUGAUCAGUAGCAUGGGAGUGCAGCUUUACAGUCCUAGUAAUGUAGUCACCAACCAGAUGCUUAAUCAAGGAUAUUUCCAAAGAUGAUGAUGCCCAAGUGAAAUGGAAAGAUCCGAUUACUGGAAGAUAGCAGGGCCCUGGCCCUGUGUUAGUAUGGGGAAGAGGGCAUGUCUGUGUUUUCCCGCAGGACGCAGAAGGAGCCAGACGGAUCCCAGAAAGUCUGGUGCAAUUUGCAGGAAAUGCUCCCCGGAAGGAGGAUGUCGCUGCUGCGGAAAGUCCUGAUGGUGAAAGGACGGUGACCUUAGCUCCUGAUUCACCUUUGUUUCAUUCUACUCAAGGGAGAAGAAAUUGUGCAGAUAAACUUUUUAGAUACAAUGGGACUGGACUUGAUUUGUCUGAUAAUUAGGACAAUUCUCAACAAAAUCGGGAAGAAUGAGAAAGAGGACUAUGGGACUUUGGUCUGAUUCUGGUUUUCGGCAGACCAACACAAGCUUGCUGCAGAAUGCCUAUGUAUGUUUUCCUUACUUUGUUGUUUGUAAUGCUAACAUUUUUAUACAAAUCCAAACUUUAAUGUUUCUUGCCAUUAAUGUAAGCCAACAAACUGUAUUUCUAAGCUUUCAAAUGGACAGCAAGUUCUGGUUGUUAGAUAGCCUUCUCUUAUGGUUCCUGUGCGUGUUUCUCAGGCUUGAUAUUCUGAUAAGGGAUUAUGAAUGCUAGAAACAGACCGAAAAGAAGGGUUGGAUUAAUUAUUGCAGGUAUUAUGGUCCUCCUGGCCAUCUUUUAUAGGACUUAGCUCAUUACUCAUGUUAGGACUGUCUCCUGCAAGGGAUAAUUAAAACCUUCAUCAAGCCCUUCUGGAAUGUUAAAGCUGAUCUGCGUAAGAUUAAACUCCAGUGUUUACCCUAGCGGAGGUUGGUAGUCAGAGAGGGGAAGAUUUCUCUGAGGUAUAUUCAACCUAAGACAGGCAUGAAUGCUGGAAUUCAUGUACCAAUGAUGGGUAAGACUAUAUCUUUCAAGAGAGACAACCUAAGACAGGCACAAUCUUCUGCUCCAUAGCUCUUAAGCUAUGGUCUUUUAAAGUUAAAAAAGGGAGACCUGUGGAGAGCUGUGGGAUGCAGCUACAGACAAAGCCAGCCUGAGAGACAGUCCCGGAUGCUCCAGGUAACUCGGAAGCCUCCGGCACCUGGAUGCAAAUGGCCGCUUGCUAAAGCAACACACCUGUGACCAAGUAGUUUUUGAAAAAAGAUUAGGUGGUUCCACACCUUUUUCUGUUUGUAUUGAUGUCACUUGCCUAUAAAUAAUGAACCCUGGAAUAAACCCGGGCUGC